UUCACCGCGGUCUACCGGCGCUGUAUCCCCGCUGCUGAACACCUGUCCAUCUGUCUUCGAGGCAGCUGCAUCCUAGUGAUCAUGGUGAAGCUGACCAGAUCUUCCACCAGAGCAUCUCUCUCCUCCAGGCUGGUGACUGGUCUGUUGCAGCCAGCCAGCUCCAGAGAGUACAUCUGAAGAAGAAGAGUCCUGCACUGUGGGCCUGGCGCUAUACGCAUAGAAAAACAAUGAGAAAACCAGUGAAAGACCCUUCAUACCUACAAGACAUUCUAUAGGGAAAUGGACCACCUUCCUGCAGCUCCUGACAUUGCAGCCAAUGCAUGCUCCCUUCUUCUUACAACCAAAACAUGUCUGGAGCACACAAAGCACACAUACGAAUAGAAGUGCUUCUCUACCAAAGGCAAUGUAAAUCUUUUUCCACAUAACGCACAAAGAAGCUCUUGUCUUAUCCUGAAUUUAAUCUCAGUAUUUAUACAGCUGAAAGGCAAACAGAUGUCAGAAUGCAUUACAUUGGUUUGGUGCUUGAAAUGACCUGACAAAAAUGUAUUUAAUAAGACAUAAUAGUUAGAGCAGCUCCACAGUGGGGCAGGGUGUGGCACUGUUGCAAGAAGGUCCUGGGUUAGAAUCCCAGCCUGGGGUCCUUCUGCAUGGAGUUUGGAUGUUCUCCACGUGCAUGCAUGGUUUCUCUCCAGGUACUCUGGCUUCCUUCCAUAGUCCAAAUGGAUGACUGUUAGGUUCACUGGUCUCUCUCAAAUGCUCUUAGGUAUGAAUGGGUGCAUUGUUGCUUAUAUUUGUGUCUCUAUGUUCCCUGUAAUGGACUAGCAACCUGCCCAGGGUGAAGCCAGCCUCUCGCCCAGUGACAAUUGGAGAUGGGCACCAGCUCCCCGCGACCCUAAAUGGAUAAGCAGGUGUGAUAUAAAUGGAUAA